UCAAGCUACAAAGGGCGCAUGGUGAAUGCCUUGGCAUCAGGAGCCGAUGAAGGACGUGAUAAGCUGCGAUAAGCUUCGGGUAGGCGCACAUAGCCUGAGAUCCGAAGAUCUCCGAAUGAGGAAACUCACAUGGGAAACCCCAUGUAUCAUUAAGUGAAUACAUAGCUUAAUGAAGGUAACCCAGGGAACUGAAACAUCUAAGUACCUGGAGGAAGAGAAAGAAAAAUCGAUUUUCUUAGUAGCGGCGAGCGAAAGGGAAAGAGCCCAAACCGGAAACUUGUUUCCGGGGUUGUGGACAUAACAUAAAAGUGGAGGCUAUUGUAACUGAAGAGAACUGGAAAGUUCCACCGUAGAAGGUAAUAGUCCUGUAAGUGAAACGAGAAGACCACGAGUUAUGAUCCAGAGUACCACGAGACACGUGAAACCUUGUGGGAAGCAGGGAGGACCACCUCCCAAGGCUAAAUACUACCUGAUGACCGAUAGUGAAGCAGUACCGUGAGGGAAAGGUGAAAAGAACCCCGGGAGGGGAGUGAAAUAGAACCUGAAACCGUGUGCCUACAACCGCUCAGAGCCCCUUAUGAGGGUGAUGAGGUGCUUUUUGUAGAACGAGCCAACGAGUUACGGUAUGUAGCAAGGUUAAGUACUUAAGGUACGGAGCCGAAGGGAAACCGAGUCUGAAUAGGGCGACUAGUUGCAUGCCGUAGACCCGAAACCGGGUGACCUAUCCAUGGCCAGGUUGAAGCGAGGGUAAAACCUCGUGGAGGACCGAACCACGUUGCUGUUGAAAAAGCAUGGGAUGAGCUGUGGAUAGCGGAGAAAUUCCAAUCGAACCCGGAGAUAGCUGGUUCUCUCCGAAAUAGCUUUAGGGCUAGCGUCGAGUAUGAGUAGUGGAGGUAGAGCACUGAAUGGGCUAGGGGGCAUAGCGCUUACCGAACCUUAUCAAACUCCGAAUGCCACAUACUUUGAGCUCGGCAGUCAGACUACGAAUGAUAAGAUCCGUGGUCAAAAGGGAAACAGCCCAGAUCGUCAGCUAAGGUCCCAAAGUGUAAGUUAAGUGGGAAAGGAUGUGAGAUUUCUAAGACAACUAGGAUGUUGGCUUAGAAGCAGCCAUUCAUUAAAAGAGUGCGUAAUAGCUCACUAGUCGAGAGAUCUUGCGCCGAAAAUGUAACGGGGCUAAACUUACCACCGAAGCUACGGGCUUGAACUUAGUUCAAGCGGUAGGAGAGCGUCGUAACCGGGCUGAAGUCGUACCGUAAGGAGCGGUGGACUGGUUACGAGUGAGAAUGUUGGCAUCAGUAGCGAGAUGUGGGUGAGAAUCCCACAGGCCGAAAACCUAAGGUUUCCUCAGGAAGGUUCGUCCGCUGAGGGUUAGUCGGGACCUAAGCCGAGGCCGAAAGGCGUAGGUGAUGGACAACUGGUUGAUAUUCCAGUACCACUACUAUCGUUAUUAUCGAUGGCGUGACGCAGGAGGAUAGUGUGUGCUAGCUAUUGGAUGCUAGUCUAAGCGUUUAGGCAGUGAGAGUAGGCAAAUCCGCUCUCAUAAUGCUGAGGCGUGAUGGGGAAGGUUCUACGGAACCGAAGUACAUGAUUCCACGCUGCCAAGAAAAGCGUCUAGAGAGAGAAGUAGUGCCCGUACCGCAAACCGACACAGGUAGGUGAGGAGAGAAUCCUAAGGCCGGCGGAAGAAUUACAGUUAAGGAACUCGGCAAAUUGACCCCGUAAGUUCGCGAGAAGGGGUGCCUACGAGAGUAGGCCGCAGAGAAUAGGCCCAAGCAACUGUUUAGCAAAAACACAGGUCUCUGCUAAAGCGUAAGCUGAUGUAUAGGGGCUGACGCCUGCCCGGUGCUGGAAGGUUAAGGGGAACACUUAGCGCAAGCGAAGGUGUGAACUUAAGCCCCAGUAAACGGCGGCCGUAACUAUAACGGUCCUAAGGUAGCGAAAUUCCUUGUCAGGUAAGUUCUGACCCGCACGAAUGGCGUAAUGACUUGGGCACUGUCUCAACUGUAAAUCCGGCGAAGUUGUAGUGCGAGUGAAGAUGCUCGCUACCCGCGAUUGGACGGAAAGACCCCGUAGAGCUUUACUGUAGCUUAGCAUUGAGUUUUGGUAUUGUCUGUACAGGAUAGGUGGGAGACUAGGAAACUAGGGCGUCAGCCUUGGUGGAGUCAACCUUGGGAUACCACCCUGACAGUACUGAAAUUCUAACUGGCGGCCAUGAAUCUGGUCACAGGACAUUGUUAGGUGGGCAGUUUGACUGGGGCGGUCGCCUCCUAAAAAGUAACGGAGGCGCCCAAAGGUUCCCUCAGAACGGUCGGAAAUCGUUCGAAGAGUGCAAAGGCAGAAGGGAGCCUGACUGCGACACCCACAAGUGGAGCAGGGACGAAAGUCGGGCUUAGUGAUCCGGUGGUACCUCGUGGGAGGGCCAUCGCUCAACGGAUAAAAGCUACCUCGGGGAUAACAGGCUGAUCUCCCCCAAGAGUCCACAUCGACGGGGAGGUUUGGCACCUCGAUGUCGGCUCGUCGCAUCCUGGGGCUGAAGUAGGUCCCAAGGGUUGGGCUGUUCGCCCAUUAAAGCGGCACGCGAGCUGGGUUCAGAACGUCGUGAGACAGUUCGGUCCCUAUCCGUCGCGGGCGUAGGAAAUUUGAGAGGAGCUGUCCUUAGUACGAGAGGACCGGGAUGGACUGACCUCUGGUGUACCAGUUGUUCCGCCAGGAGCACAGCUGGGUAGCUAAGUCGGGAAUGGAUAAACGCUGAAAGCAUCUAAGCGUGAAGCCAACCUCAAGAUGAGAUUUCCCAUAGCGUAAGCUAGUAAGAUCCCUUGAAGAACACAAGGUUGAUAGGUCGGGGGUGUAAGCAUGGUAACAUGUUCAGCUGACCGAUACUAAUAGAUCGAGGGCUUGACCAA
rnacentral:rRNA from 1 species